rnacentral:rRNA from 1 species
UGAGUACGAGAUGCUACGGCAUCGAAGCAGUCUAUGUCAUACUUCCAAGAAAAGCUUGCACUGUCAGAAACAGAUAAUGCCUGUACCAUAACCGACACAGGUGGGUAGGUAGAGUAUACUAAGGGGCGCGAGAUAACUCUCUCUAAGGAACUCGGCAAAAUGACUCCGUAACUUCGGGAGAAGGAGUGCCUUAUUUUUAAGGUUGCAAUAACAAGAUCCAAGCAACUGUUUACCAAAAACACAGGUCUCCGCUAAGUCGUAAGACGAUGUAUGGGGGCUGACGCCUGCCCAGUGCCAGAAGGUUAAAGAAGUCGGUUAGCAUUCGCGAAGCUGGUAACUGAAGCCCUGGUGAACGGCGGCCGUAACAAUAACGGUCCUAAGGUAGCGAAAUUCCUUGUCGGGUAAGUUCCGACCCGCACGAAAGGCGUAAUGAUUUGGAUACUGUCUCGGAGAGGGGCUCGGUGAAAUAGACUUGUCUGUGAAGAUGCGGACUACCUGCACCUGGACAGAAAGACCCUAUGAAGCUUUACUGUAACUUGAAAUUGAAAUUGGACUUUACUUGCGCAGUAUAGGUGGGAGGCGUUGAAAAUAUUCUUGCGGGAAUAUUGGAGCCAUCAGUGAGAUACCACUCUUGUAAUGUUAGAUUUCUAACUUUAUAUCAUUAUCUGGUUAAAGAACAGUUUCAGGCGGGCAGUUUGACUGGGGCGGUCGCCUCCCAAAUGGUAACGGAGGCGCACAAAGGUUUCCUCUGAACGGGUAGAAAUCGUAUCUAGAGUGUAAAGGCAUAAGGAAGCUUGACUGUGAGACCUACAAGUCGAGCAGGGACGAAAGUCGGUCUUAGUGAUCUGACGGUGCUGAGUGGAAAGGCCGUCACUCAACGGAUAAAAGUUACUCUAAGGAUAACAGGCUGAUCUCCCCCAAGAGUUCACAUCGACGGGGAGGUUUGGCACCUCGAUGUCGGCUCAUCGCAUCCUGGGGCGGUAGUACGUCCCAAGGGUUGGGCUGUUCGCCCAUGAAAGCGGUACGCGAGCUGGGUUCAGAACGUCGUGAGACAGUUCGGUCCAUAUCCGGUGUAGGCGUUAGAAUAUUGAGAGGAGCCUUCUUUAGUACGAGAGGACCGAGAAGGACAUACCUCUGGUGUACCAGUUAUCGUGCCAACGGUAAACGCUGGGUAGCUAUGUAUGGAGUGGGUAACCGCUGAAAGCAUCUAAGUGGGAAGCCCACCUCAAGAUAAGUAUUCUCAUC